rnacentral:rRNA from 1 species
AUUGAACGCUGGCGGCAGGCUUAACACAUGCAAGUCGAACGAUGAUUAUCUAGCUUGCUAGUUAUGAUUAGUGGCGGACGGGUGAGUAACAUUUAGGAAUCUGCCUAGUAGUGGGGGAUAGCUCGGGGAAACCCGAAUUAAUACCGCAUACGACCUACGGGUGAAAGGGGGCGCAAGCUCUUGCUAUUAGAUGAGCCUAAAUCAGAUUAGCUAGUUGGUGGGGUAAAGGCCCACCAAGGCGACGAUCUGUAACUGGUCUGAGAGGAUGAUCAGUCACACCGGAACUGAGACACGGUCCGGACUCCUACGGGAGGCAGCAGUGGGGAAUAUUGGACAAUGGGGGCAACCCUGAUCCAGCCAUGCCGCGUGUGUGAAGAAGGCCUUUUGGUUGUAAAGCACUUUAAGCAGGGAGGAGAGGCUAAUGGUUAAUACCCAUUAGAUUAGACGUUACCUGCAGAAUAAGCACCGGCUAACUCUGUGCCAGCAGCCGCGGUAAUACAGAGGGUGCGAGCGUUAAUCGGAAUUACUGGGCGUAAAGCGAGUGUAGGUGGCUCAUUAAGUCACAUGUGAAAUCCCCGGGCUUAACCUGGGAACUGCAUGUGAUACUGGUGGUGCUAGAAUAUGUGAGAGGGAAGUAGAAUUCCAGGUGUAGCGGUGAAAUGCGUAGAGAUCUGGAGGAAUACCGAUGGCGAAGGCAGCUUCCUGGCAUAAUAUUGACACUGAGAUUCGAAAGCGUGGGUAGCAAACAGGAUUAGAUACCCUGGUAGUCCACGCCGUAAACGAUGUCUACUAGCCGUUGGGGUCCUUGAGACUUUAGUGGCGCAGUUAACGCGAUAAGUAGACCGCCUGGGGAGUACGGCCGCAAGGUUAAAACUCAAAUGAAUUGACGGGGGCCCGCACAAGCGGUGGAGCAUGUGGUUUAAUUCGAUGCAACGCGAAGAACCUUACCUGGUCUUGACAUAGUGAGAAUCCUGCAGAGAUGCGGGAGUGCCUUCGGGAAUUCACAUACAGGUGCUGCAUGGCUGUCGUCAGCUCGUGUCGUGAGAUGUUGGGUUAAGUCCCGCAACGAGCGCAACCCUUUUCCUUAUUUGCCAGCGGGUUAAGCCGGGAACUUUAAGGAUACUGCCAGUGACAAACUGGAGGAAGGCGGGGACGACGUCAAGUCAUCAUGGCCCUUACGACCAGGGCUACACACGUGCUACAAUGGUAGGUACAGAGGGUUGCUACACAGCGAUGUGAUGCUAAUCUCAAAAAGCCUAUCGUAGUCCGGAUUGGAGUCUGCAACUCGACUCCAUGAAGUCGGAAUCGCUAGUAACCGCGGAUCAGAAUGCCGCGGUGAAUACGUUCCCGGGCCU